rnacentral:rRNA from 1 species
GAUGAACGCUGGCGGCGUGCCUAAUACAUGCAAGUCGAGCGAACAGACGAGGAGCUUGCUCCUCUGACGUUAGCGGCGGACGGGUGAGUAACACGUGGAUAACCUACCUAUAAGACUGGGAUAACUUCGGGAAACCGGAGCUAAUACCGGAUAAUAUAUUGAACCGCAUGGUUCAAUAGUGAAAGACGGUUUUGCUGUCACUUAUAGAUGGAUCCGCGCCGCAUUAGCUAGUUGGUAAGGUAACGGCUUACCAAGGCAACGAUGCGUAGCCGACCUGAGCGGGUGAUCGGCCACACUGGAACUGAGACACGGUCCUGACUCCUACGGGAGGCAGCAGUAGGGAAUCUUCCGCAAUGUGCGAAAGCUUGACGGAGCAACGCCGCGUGAGUGAUGAAGGUCUUCGGAUCGUAAAACUCUGUUAUUAGGGAAGAACAAAUGUGUAAGUAACUAUGCACGUCUUGACGGUACCUAAUCAGAAAGCCACGGCUAACUACGUG